AAAACCCAAAUCCCAUUCACCUCUGACCUUUUGAAAUUAGCAAAUACAAGUGGCCAAACCUGCCCUCUCCUGGCCCGUUUCUCUCCAGCCUUCACUCCAUCCUGAGUGCUGGUCAAGCCACAUUCAUCCUGGCGUUCCUCCCUGGGCCACCCAGACCCUCCAGGAUGAGCUUUCAUCCUGCGGUCAGUCACAUCAAGACUUGAAUUUCCUUCUCCUUCACAAGAGCUGCUCGGCACCUGCCCAGAACCCCAGCAAGACUCCUCCCAUUCUUUUGGGCAAGGGCAGGUUAUGGGGAAGCUGUCAAGCCAGUGUAGCUCAGGACCACCCCCCUCCCCAGCCUGCAUAUCUGGUAUGUGUGUGGCUCCUGGCUCUAGCCUGGGCUGCUUGAGAGCCUCUGCCUUGCUGUCCGAGCUCUCUGCUCUGUGCUUACUGCCUCUGCCAGGCCUGGGAACAUGGCUUUCAAAGCACUUUAGCUGUUGACUUCAGCCUGUCCAGAUCCCACAGCUCCGGCUUUCUGUUCCCACUUGGACUUCUCUCCCUUCAAACAGAAAGCUGCUCGUGCAGAUGCGAAGGUUUCCUGUUCCUCAGACCUCAUAUUUCAGCCGGUGAUGGGAAGAGGUUUUAGGGAGACAAAUACGGAGUCAGCGAUUCCACUAAGAAUAAGUAUUUCCUGUUCCUUUAUUCACACAACAAAACAAUGCUUCACCAGUUAGACCUGGGUUUGCCUGGCUCACAGCUUGAGAGCAGAGGACCCUGGAGGUCAGCAGUUCUAAUACUUUUCGCAGAACCAGAGAAGCAGGGCCUGCCCAGUGUUGCCCUCCGGAAAAGACUGGAGGCAGAGUUCAGGCUCAGCCUGCAGCUAGAUGACCCUAGUGCACAAUGGGUUGAUUUUGUGACUUGAAACCAUGGAUUAAUCUCCUUAAGCCUUGAUUGAGUGAAACAUUCCCGGCCCAGCGGGUGAAAGCCCUUUAGAAACCCCAAGCGCCACACAACUGGAAGAGAGCUUCAGGGUCCUGACUCCCCAAGCUUGGGCUGGAGCUCCCCUGUUGUGCACCUCUUGGGUAUGGAGGGUAAUUACCAUUAGCGGAUUUGUUAUAAAUCACAGUUCAAAGGGCUGUCUUGAUAAUGGCACAUUUUGGGGUCAGUCAGUUCUGAUCAUCCUUUUAUCUUGAAGUGCGGCAAAAGAAGGUUCACCUGUGACUGCUUGUGCUUGUGAGUUUUGUCAUGUCUGUGACCUGGAGGUUUCUUUGCUGUAAGCUGAGUUUUGAUUUUAACUAAAACUAGAUGCUAGCUCCACGUGUCCCCGUUAGUGCUCCGCACCAGGCUGAACACAGACCACCGAGGACACCUGGGAAGCUUUGUGGAGCUCUUGCUCGAAGAGGGAGCCCCUGGCCACCGAUCUGAAUGUUGAGUAUUAGUGACACCUACUUCCUUUAAGAUGACAUAUGAACAGGCUUUCUUUUCCUGCACCCAAGGGGCUCACCUUGUCCCCCUCCCCCUGGGAUGUGGAGCCCCACCAGGGAGAGUUGACCUUGAUCCCUAUGGGAAUCCUGAGCUUUAAAAAAGGCAGACCCUCCUCCCCCAUCCUAAUUUCUCCCUUGGGGGGCCCUAAUAAAGACUGCCUAGCAGACCUCCAGUGGAGCCGUGUUCGGGGACUGUUAAAGAAAAAAAUAUUCUAUUAAAUAGAAAAUCAUUCGUGACACUUGUUAAAAACAUCAAGGCAGACUUUAUUCAGGGGCGGGUACUACAGUGGGGUUUUGUAGUAGGGGAGAGCCAUCAGUCUUAACUCUGGAUACAGCCAGGAGAAGGGACUUGAUAGCUAAGGAGCAGGGUGGGGGCAGUGGAUGGAAAGUUGCUAAGAGGAAACACGAGGAGUAUGGAGGGUCGAGGGAGGAGGGCUCUGGCUAAACUCAGCGCUAGGAUUCUUGCUGAAGGCAAGCUCAGUGAUCAGACAUCACCUGGAAGAUGGUGAAAGAUGAGGAGCCCGCCCAAAUGUGAAGGCAGUCAGGAUUGGGGCUGGGGGGUCCUGGCUAAAAUGGCUUGGUAGGAUGCUUGCUAAAACUGCACAAUGCAGAAGGAGGCAGGGACGCUCCAAAGGCGGGGCCUAGAUGACAGCUCAGAGGAGCUGCAGCCCAGUUUGGUCCGGGAGAGACGGUCAGGCCGCCGGAACGCAGGCGAGUCCGUGUCUGGCGGGGACGCCCACGGAGCGAGCUGCCUGCAGGGGGCGCGCCGGCUCUCCGCGCGGGCAGCGGCCGGGGCCGGAAGUGCCGAGGCCGCGCGGGGCGGGGCGGGAAGCCCCGGCGGGAGGCUCGCGCCGGCCGGCCGGAGCUCCGCCCUGUCCCCGUGCCCCGAGCCCCCGGGCCGCGAGCGAGCGUGCGGGCGGACUCGGUCCCGCGGUCAGCCAGGCGCCGCGUGCAGGUCCACGUGCCUCCCCUCCACUCUCGCCCCCGCAGGAAUUGCAGUGUGACUCCCAUGCAGUGUGACACACAGACCUGAAAUUCCUGGUGUGAUGAGAGUGGAGUUUGCUGUCCUGAAUUCGAAACGCAAGUCAUUAAGCCUGGCCCCUGACUCUUCUUCAGGAGAGAAAAGAGAGAUGGGAGACUUAAAAUCUGGGGAUAAAAAGAGGGUCCUUCCCACAUGGAUGACAGCCCAGGAGGCCGAGAAGAGAAAGGUGGCAGUGAAGACCCCCAAGGGGAGGAGACCGGCAGCUCAGGGGGCUGCCACAGCAAGACUUGCCACAGCGAGGACCGUGUACUGCAUGAAUGAAGCUGAAAUGGUAGACGUCGCCCUGGGGAUCCUGGUUGAGGCCCGGAAACAGGAAAAGCCCUUGGAGUCUCCAACACUGGUGGGCGCUGAUAAGCCAGAGCUGUCCCCAAUCCGCUCAGCGUCGUCACCAGGAUCUCCUGGGAGUAGAAGUGAGGAUGAAGACAUCGGGAAAGACGCCCUUCCUCCAGGCCUUAGCCCUCCUCAGGGGCCCCCGGGGUCUGACUCUGCGUGCAGCGGGAGCCCUGCGGACGAUGAGGACAUGUUAAAAUACGUCAGGGAAAUAUUUUUCAGCUAAGGGACAGACUCCCCAAGACUCUUACACAGGCCGCUGGAGGAAGCUGGCUUUCCCUCCCGGCCCGGGACCUGCCCAAGGAUGCCGACGCCGCCCGGCCCUCCCCUCCCUGGGCUGGCAGAUGCACCGCGGAGGGGAAGCCCAGGAGGCUCUGGGCCUUGGGACCUGUCACGCCGAGUGUGUGAAAAGGAGGAGCCAAGAUGAGCUUCUGUUAGAAUUUCUCUCUGCACUGAGCAUCCUCUGCUCGGAGGGUCUGACUUUAUUCACUUCCCAGGUUCAGGGAAAGGUGGACAUGGGGGUCACACUUAUUGGAACCAAAGAGUCAACUUAGUAACUUUGAAAGAAGAAAGAGUACGGCUGCAAAGUUCCCGGGAAGCCUGACCGUUUCGUCAGCGUGAUCUUUCCCUGCAGAGGAAGCUUGUUCUGAACCGGGUUCCCCUCACCUGUGCAGCCCGGGAGGCAGGUGUCCCGCCCGCGGUGCCCUGCUCGGCCUGGGCUCCGGACGGGAAGGCCUCUGCCCGCCGCACUGCCGCCUUCUUCCCCUCGGGCGGCUCAGCCUCGGCCCCGGGGCAGUUGUGAAGCAAGAGUGGCCCGGGAGUCCUCAGGAGGCGGCGGACCAGAUCCCGCCGGAGUCAGCAUUUCUGUCUCUGUUCGGGGUGGCUCCGGACAGGCGUGGAAUGGGGCUGUCGUUCGCUGUCGGGUUUUCGGCUGUGCAGGGCCACCAGGCACAAGGCAGACACUCAGCGACCGAGGGACAUGUGAAUGACUGAAUGGGCUGAGGCAACAGCACACCGAGAUCUGUUCUCUGAGCCACCAGCUUCCAGAGCUGAACACGGAGAGGAGGACGCACGAGAUGUGGGCACAGCUGGGGUCAAGGGCAGUGGCCCCCGCCCCCCACGCCUGCCCAGCACAGCCAGAGCCAACGGGACUGCCCGGUAGAACCUGGACGGUAUCACUUUGUUGUCUGAACAGAAGCUUGAAAGAGAAAACAGGGCUGAGAACGCCGAGGUGCUGUCAGCCCCGGGUACCAAUCUCUGAGGACUCUCAGUUCUAAUGAGAACGCGCUGUCCGUGGAUUCCAAGAUCAAACCUGCAGGCAGGUUACACUGACUACAUCACUUGAAGAUGUACCAUUCUGAUGGCCACGGCAGGCUAGAGUCAGCGAAGUAAUCCCCGGAUCCAGUUCCCAGGUGGAUUCCUAGACAUAACAGGGGAAAUUGGAUCCCAACCCCCCAAAUGGUAGCCCCCCAGGGGUACUGGGAGGGACUGCUGGAAGCAGGAGUAUCUCAGAAAAGCCGCACGUAGGAAGUUAAUGUGUGAUAAAAGUGGCAUUACAGGGGCACCUGGGUGGCUCAGUGGGUUAAGCCGCUGCCUUUGGCUCAGAUCACGGUCUUGGGAUCGAGGCCGCCUCAGGCUCUCUGCUCAGUGGGGAGCCUGCUUCCCCCUCUCUCUCUGUCUGCCUCUCUGCCUACUUGUGAUCUCUGUCAAAUAAAUGAAUAAAAUCUUAAAAAAAAAAA